rnacentral:rRNA from 1 species
GACGAACGCUGGCGGCGUGCCUAAUACAUGCAAGUCGAACGAACUCUGGUAUUGAUUGGUGCUUGCAUCAUGAUUUACAUUUGAGUGAGUGGCGAACUGGUGAGUAACACGUGGGAAACCUGCCCAGAAGCGGGGGAUAACACCUGGAAACAGAUGCUAAUACCGCAUAACAACUUGGACCGCAUGGUCCGAGUUUGAAAGAUGGCUUCGGCUAUCACUUUUGGAUGGUCCCGCGGCGUAUUAGCUAGAUGGUGGGGUAACGGCUCACCAUGGCAAUGAUACGUAGCCGACCUGAGAGGGUAAUCGGCCACAUUGGGACUGAGACACGGCCCAAACUCCUACGGGAGGCAGCAGUAGGGAAUCUUCCACAAUGGACGAAAGUCUGAUGGAGCAACGCCGCGUGAGUGAAGAAGGGUUUCGGCUCGUAAAACUCUGUUGUUAAAGAAGAACAUAUCUGAUAGUAACUGUUCAGGUAUUGACGGUAUUUAACCAGAAAGCCACGGCUAACUACGUGCCAGCAGCCGCGGUAAUACGUAGGUGGCAAGCGUUGUCCGGAUUUAUUGGGCGUAAAGCGAGCGCAGGCGGUUUUUUAAGUCUGAUGUGAAAGCCUUCGGCUCAACCGAAGAAGUGCAUCGGAAACUGGGAAACUUGAGUGCAGAAGAGGACAGUGGAACUCCAUGUGUAGCGGUGAAAUGCGUAGAUAUAUGGAAGAACACCAGUGGCGAAGGCGGCUGUCUGGUCUGUAACUGACGCUGAGGCUCGAAAGUAUGGGUAGCAAACAGGAUUAGAUACCCUGGUAGUCCAUACCGUAAACGAUGAAUGCUAAGUGUUGGAGGGUUUCCGCCCUUCAGUGCUGCAGCUAACGCAUUAAGCAUUCCGCCUGGGGAGUACGGCCGCAAGGCUGAAACUCAAAGGAAUUGACGGGGGCCCGCACAAGCGGUGGAGCAUGUGGUUUAAUUCGAAGCUACGCGAAGAACCUUACCAGGUCUUGACAUACUAUGCAAAUCUAAGAGAUUAGACGUUCCCUUCGGGGACAUGGAUACAGGUGGUGCAUGGUUGUCGUCAGCUCGUGUCGUGAGAUGUUGGGUUAAGUCCCGCAACGAGCGCAACCCUUAUUAUCAGUUGCCAGCAUUAAGUUGGGCACUCUGGUGAGACUGCCGGUGACAAACCGGAGGAAGGUGGGGAUGACGUCAAAUCAUCAUGCCCCUUAUGACCUGGGCUACACACGUGCUACAAUGGAUGGUACAACGAGUUGCGAACUCGCGAGAGUAAGCUAAUCUCUUAAAGCCAUUCUCAGUUCGGAUUGUAGGCUGCAACUCGCCUACAUGAAGUCGGAAUCGCUAGUAAUCGCGGAUCAGCAUGCCGCGGUGAAUACGUUCCCGGGCCUUGUACACACCGCCCGUCACACCAUGAGAGUUUGUAACACCCAAAGUCGGUGGGGUAACCUUUUAGGAACCAGCCGCCUAAGGUGGGACAGAUGAUUAGGGUG